AAGGAAGGAUUUCCGUGCACAAACAUUCAGGAGGAUGCUCCGCCCAGGCCUCAUUGAAUGUGAACUUGCGGCCAGCAGCCUGUUUUAUGACAACGCAUUAAAGAGGAGCCUGCAAGUCUCGUCCGCUGCCAACUCGCUACGCUUUAUUGAACUAAAACUGGUGUCUGCUUCGUUUGCAGUCUCUUCCCUCCGAGCUCAACCAGCAAAGAGGAAGAGGAGAAAGACGAGGAGGAAGACGAGUGUGUGGGAGUGCGCGAGGUAUGCUGGAGGAGGAAUGCAAGAAACCUGGUGUGGUAGCGGCCACAUUCGGUUAACACGCGGAAAUGACGCAUCUCCCGCGCGCCCGCCUGAGGGGUACGCACAGCAUCAUGAGAGGGAUUUGACUUGACACGAGUCACAGUCACUCCAUCCCCGACGUGGAAGAGGCGCAGGGGUGGGGGGGAUGAAUUAUUCAACCAGCCAGUGCUUAGCCCUGACGGCGUGUUGUCAUGUGGAGCUGAAGAGGCAACACCGAGCAGCACCUCCUCACCACGAGAAGAGGGCAGCCAACCUCCAUUUGCUUGAGGAAAGACGGGUAGCAUAUCAUUUCAGAGCGGGAGUAAAAGCAUAGAUGC